AGUGAACGCUGGCGGUAGGCCUAACACAUGCAAGUCGAACGGCAGCACAGUAAGAGCUUGCUCUUACGGGUGGCGAGUGGCGGACGGGUGAGGAAUACAUCGGAAUCUACUUUUUCGUGGGGGAUAACGUAGGGAAACUUACGCUAAUACCGCAUACGACCUACGGGUGAAAGCAGGGGAUCUUCGGACCUUGCGCGAUUGAAUGAGCCGAUGUCGGAUUAGCUAGUUGGCGGGGUAAAGGCCCACCAAGGCGACGAUCCGUAGCUGGUCUGAGAGGAUGAUCAGCCAAACUGGAACUGAGACACGGUCCAGACUCCUACGGGAGGCAGCAGUUGGGAAUAUUGGACAAUGGGGGCAAGCCUGAUCCAGCCAUACCGCGUGGGUGAAGAAGGCCUUCGGGUUGUAAAGCCCUUUUGUUGGGAAAGAAAAGCAGCAGGUUAAUACCCCGCUGUUCUGACGGUACCCAAAGAAUAAGCACCGGCUAACUUCGUG
rnacentral:rRNA from 1 species